rnacentral:rRNA from 1 species
GACAGAGGGUGCAAACGUUGCUCGGAAUUACUGGGCGUAAAGCGCGUGUAGGCGGAUCGGUAAGUGGGAUGUGAAAUCCCAGGGCUCAACCCUGGAACUGCAUUCCAAACUGCCGGUCUUGAGUGUCGGAGAGGAUGGCGGAAUUCUGGGUGUAGAGGUGAAAUUCGUAGAUAUCCGGAGGAACACCAGUGGCGAAGGCGGCCAUCUGGACGACGACUGACGCUGAGACGCGAAAGCGUGGGGAGCAAACAGG